rnacentral:lncRNA from 1 species
GUAGAAAUGUUCUUUUAAGAAAUCUCCCCAAAAAGAGGGGCUGGCUCCGUGGCCGAGCGGUCAAGUUCGUGUGCUCCGCUGUAGGCGGCCCAGUGUUUCAUUGGUUCUAAUCCCGGGCACGGACAUGGCACUGCUCAUCAAACCACGCUGAGGCAGCGUCCCACAUGCCACAACUAGAAGGACCCACAACGAAGAAUAUACAACUAUGUACCAGGGGGCUUUGGGGAGAAAAAGGAAAAAAUAAAAUCUUUAAAAAAAGAAAUCCCCCCAAAAAGAAAUGUCAUAUAUAUUGAUGAUCAGGGAAUUUUUUAAGAUGAACAAAAGGUGGAGGAAGGGGAGAGAAAAUAAUCAAGAAUUCAAGGACUUUAACCUAGAUUCCUCGGCCCUUCUAGGAGGCCUGCAGCUGUGUUCCAGAUCACAAGGAAGUGUAAGCAGGAUGAUACUUUCUUCCCCAAAAGCUGUCCAUGCUUCAUUCCCGGAAACCUGUGAAUGUUACAUCCCAUUGCACAAGGGACUUUUGCAGAUGUGAUUAAGGGAUAUCUGGAAUUGAGGAAGUGUUAAUCAAACGUGCAGAGGUUUCUCAAUGUAGAGGUUCUCUGAGCACCCUGUACAGACGUAAAAUGAGGGGGAAAAAAGCCUAGAGAACUUUGAAAUACGGUGAGAAAAAAAGAAAAUGAGAUUCAACUUGAAAUAAUGUGAGGGAGUGUGUCCAUAGAAAAAUAAUGAAAAACAGAUAUUUGAUGGAAGGAAGACAAUUGGAAGGUAGUCAAAAUAAACAGGACAGAGGGGAGAGGAGACUAGACAAUAAAUUAGAUGAGAUUGAAAUUCUGUGCCAAUUCAGGAAAAAAACUAAAAAUCAUCUUGAUGGCCAUGUAAUGUUACCAAACAAGAAAGUACACCUGAACUAGAAUUCGCUUGGAGACAGUGUUCUUUUUCUCUUUUUCUAUGUUGAAGAACUCAGAGGAACUGGAAGUAAUUCAAAAAAGAACAGCAAAUACAAUUAAGAGCCUAAAUGGAUUGAUUUAUAUAGUGAGAGGGAAGAAAUAAAAUAUGCAAUCCUUGGCUAAAGACAUCUAGAGAGAACAUAAUUGUCAAGUCUUUAAAGGAUUUCUGUGCUAAGUCAAUAGAGGCUGACUUUAGUUCAAUAAAAGGGAAUCUAGGCCGAAGCACAAUGAGUUGAACGUAAACUCAUGCCGAAAACAUUUUCCCAAUUUUGUUAAUACCAAAAUCUAAAGUGUUUCAAAUGGUGCUGACUCAAAGGUCUGCUCUUGUUUUUGUUGAUGUUUUUAACCCAUUUUGAGACUUAUGCUAAGUGACCUUGGAACACAAUUGUUGGAAAAUUCUUUAAACCCUGGUUGUUCUCUUUCUAACAGAUUAUCAUUGCCCUUUUUGAGGCCUUACCUUCACAGCAUAUAAAUAACUGCUGAUUUUAUAAUCCUGGCUUUAUAACAAGGCUUGCUAUCUGGUAGGGCAAGCCCUCCUACACUGUCCUUCUUUAAAAAGACUUGGCUGUUGAUUUUGUCUCUUUAUACACACUCUGUGUACUUACCGAUUUCAAUAGAUUAAACUAUUGUACUAGCCUCCCAGGGCUGCCAAAGCGGAACAUCAUAGACUGGGUGGGGUACACAGACAUUUAUUUCUUUAUUAAACAACAGACAUUUAUUUUUUCACAGUUGUG